AGCAGCCGCGGUAAUUCCAGCUCCAAUAGCGUAUAUUAAAGUUGUUGCAGUUAAAAAGCUCGUAGUUGAAUUUCGGGACCAAUUUGUUGGUCGUGCCUCGGUACGUACUGGUAUUAUUGGUUUCUCCCUUCUGAAGAACCUCGAUGCCAUUAAUUUGGUGUCGUGGGGAAUCAGGACUGUUACUUUGAAAAAAUUAGAGUGUUUAAAGCAAGCAUACGCUUGGAUACAUUAGCAUGGAAUAAUGAAAUAGGACGUUUGAUUCUAUUUUGUUGGUUUCUAGGAUCGACGUAAUGAUUAAUAGGGAUAGUUGGGGGCAUUAGUAUUCAAUUGUCAGAGGUGAAAUUCUUGGAUUUAUUGAAGACUAACUACUGCGAAAGCAUUUGCCAAGGAUGUUUUCAUUAAUCAAGAACGAAAGUUAGGGGAUCGAAGACGAUCAGAUACCGUCGUAGU
rnacentral:rRNA from 1 species